rnacentral:lncRNA from 10 species
UUUAAAGCAAAAAAACCUGAUUGUUGAAAUGUUUUCUACCUAAAGCUUCAACAAUCACCUAUGUAGUUAAGAACUACAGUGUUUGAAACUUUAUUCAUGUUUCUUGGCUCUAAUAUUGAUAUUUGUUAUUCUGAACAUUCAGAUUCCCAGCCGAAAUUAUCACAGCAGCUUUAUUUGAAACAACUCAUAUUAUCCAUAUUUUCAGAUUACAUAAUUAAAAGUUAAAGAAGUUUAGUAAUUUCUGUAAGUUUACAUAUCUAAUAAAUGGUGGAGAACAAGGUCACAAUCUGGCUGUCUGAUUCAAAAACCCCUACUCUACUUGUACUGGGAUUCCUGAUUCCAUUGGAGACAGUGGGCUCCCUAGAAUUCUGUUAUUUUAUAAGAUUCAAUAUUGAGAGACACCCAGACCUCCCACAUACACCUGAGGCACACCACGAUCUUUCUUAAAGUAUUGUUGCUUAUGGCUUGAAUGUCUUAGAGUGUGGAAGUGAAAUAAUAGUGAGGAGAUUUCAUGGUUUUGAAAAAUGUGGGGAUGAUGAUUUGUUUAAGGAUUAUAGAGUUUAAUUUUGAAAAGGGUAGAGUGGGUAUAAUCCCACUGGAGAAGGUAUUAUUUAUGUAUGUGGAAUUUUUUUUUUUCAAUUAAAGGAAGAAACUAAUAGAGACUACAGCUUCCCAGCUGGCCUAGAAGACCAUAUUUUGGGGGAGAAUAUAUCGCCUAACACAAGUAUCUCAGGGUUGGUCCCCAGUGAACUUACCCAGAGCAACACAAGUCUUGGCAGUAGCAGCAGUAGUGGAGAUGUAGGAAAACUGCAUUAUCCAACAGGUGAAGUUCCAUUUCCAAGAGGCAUGAAAGGGCAAGACUUUGAAAAAUCAGAUCAUGGUUCUUCUCAAAAUACCAGCAUGUCUAGCAUCUAUCAGAAUUGUGCAAUGGAGGUUUUGAUGUCCAGUUGUUCACAGUGUAGAGCUUGUGGAGCUUUAGUUUAUGAUGAAGAAAUUAUGGCUGGAUGGACAGCAGAUGACUCAAAUUUGAAUACAGCUUGUCCAUUCUGUAAAAGCAACUUCUUGCCUCUUCUCAAUAUAGAAUUCAAAGAUUUGAGAGGUUCUGCAAGGUUAGUCUUAUAAAAGCUCUCUCAAGAAGUAAGUACCCUCAAAAAACACGACUUCUGGGAGAAGAGUGAAAUAUUCCUGGUAUGCUCCAGGUCUGCCUUCCUGUCUGUCCUUCACCUUCAGUAUUUGAGUAGCAAAUACUAGUAAUGUGGGAGUCUACUUUUCCAUUUUAUUUAAAGUAAGAUUAUCAGCCGGGCUCCGUGGCUCAUGCUGUAAUCUCAACACUUUGCGAGGCCCAGGUGGGAGGAUUGCUUGAGGUCAGGAGUUCAAGACCAGCCUGGGCAACAUGGCAAGACCCUGUCUCUACAAAAGAUUUUUUAAAAUUAGCUGGGCAUGGUAGUGUGCACCUGUGGUAGCAGUUACUAGGAAGGCUGACAUAGGAGGAUCGCGUGAGCCCAGGAGUUUGAAGCUGCAGUGAGUAUAUAUUUUAGAAGAAACAAAGGGGAAAAAAAGGCUUCAACUCUUCUCUUGUCACUUGCACGUCCUAGUAGUAUUCUGUGCAGUGAAAUGACCAAAUUCUAGGCAAUAGAUAUAAGACUAGCUGAUCUAUAAUUAUACAUAAAAUAAUUGAGAGUUUGGUGACUCUGUGCUGACCUAGGGAAUUAUACUUAAUAUUCCAUUCAUUUUAUGGAACAAAUUGAACUUUUUAUUUCCUGCCUUUAGCUGCUUUAAAAAAAAUACACUGCCAGGUGUGGUGGCUCACACCUUAAUCCUAGCACUUUGGGAGGCCCAGACAGGUGGAUUGCCUGAGCUCAGGAGUUCGAGACCAGCCUGGGCAACACAGUGAAACCCUGUCUCUACUAAAAUACAAAAGAUUAGCCAGGUGUGGCGGCGUGCGCCUGUAGUCCCAGGCACCCGGGAGGCUGAGGCAGGAGAAUUGCUUGAACCUGGGAGGUGGAGGUUGCAGUGAGCUGAGAUUGCACCACUGCACUCCAGUCUGGGUGACAGAGAGAGACUCUGUCUCUGAAAAAACAACAAAAACAUUUAGGCUGGGCAUGAUGGCUCAUGCCUGUAAUCCCAGUACUUUGGGAGGCCGAGGCAGGCAGAUCACUUGAGGUCAGGAGUUCGAGACCAGCCUGGGCAACAUGGCAAAACCCCAUCUCUAC